rnacentral:misc_RNA from 1 species
GAACGCACCUUGCGCCCUUUGGCUAUUCCGAAGGGCAUGCCUGUUUGAGUAUCAUGAACACCUCAACUCUCAUGGUUUGCCGUGAUGAGCUUGGACUUUGGGGGUCUUGCUGGCCUACGGUCAGCUCCCCUAAAAUGAAUCAGCUUGCCAGUGUUUGGUGGGAUCACAGGUGUGAUAACUAUCUACGCUUGUGGCCUUCCACCAAUUAACUUCCAGCAAUGGAGGUUCGCUGGGGCUCACAAAUGUCUCUCCUCAGUGAGGACAGCUUUUUAAUGUUUGAUCUCAAAUCAGGUAGGACUACCCGCUGAACUUAAG